UGUGAAGUUGCUGUUAAAUAAGUUUACAUACAUGACAGUGUUUGGCCCAGAGCAGGCACUCAGUGCACGUUUCUGAGCCCUCUGCCACUCUCUGGGAUGCCCAGGUCCAACUGAACUAAACAUGUCUCCUACGACGAGUCCUGCGUGGAACCAUGUAACCUCCUUUGUAGGAGAAAGUCCUGCUAGCUACACAGUCCCUCCUUCCCUCCUAUCCUAGAGUAAUUCGGGUGCAGGGGAGAAGGGUACACGUGGAAGCAAAGUCCAGUAUAAAGGAAAGUAUACGUGACAUGUCUUGGGGUUCAGGCCCUAUCUAGAGCCUCUACCGAAGGGACUAUAUCUGAACCUGUGAGCUGCCACACCAAUAUAGCUGACUGGACCAGGGAUGAAUACCUAAUGCAAGAAGGAGGGACUCUUCCGGAGCUGGGCCGAGCAGAUCAUAAGCCUUCAGGAAUGUAAACCUAGAGAUGUGGAGGAAAAGUCCAGGUACUGGAUCUGAAAGCUCAUGCCAAGUUAGGGCCUGGACAUCCAUAGUGACCAAUGUUUCAGAGCACUAAGAACAGGAAUCCGAUUAAGGGGAGUAGAGGUGUGAGGGGAGAAAGAGCAGAUGUUCAGUGAGAAUCCAAGAGCAAGAAGCGGGCGUAAGAAAGACCACGCACUCGCAGAGAGGUGGAAAGAGAUGCCUAAGUUUCUAAUAUAGUAUUCGUGGGGUUUU